GAAGGAGGCUGGGAGGUGCACUCUGGGCCCUCUCCCCAGCCCCCACUGCCGCCCGCUGUUUCUUGGAGAGCCAGCCUCGGAUCCCUGGCCUAUCUUGGCAGGACUGCACGGGAAGGCCACCCCUGCGGCCCCUGGCGCCUCCCACCCCAUCCUGGAGAGGACACCCCAGGGGCCACACAAACUCCACACCUUCUCUGGGAGCCCUGCCUACGACCCUUCACCAUCCCAGCCGUUGACCUUCCUCUUCGGCCCGGUGUUAGGACAUUUCUUACUCACCCCGACUUCCAAAUGGCUUCUGCGUCUUGCCUGAUGGUCUCUGUUCCGCCCUGUGCUGACUGUCGGGUGGUCCGUGAGACAGACUCGUACUGAAGACCCUCUCACCUCCUCUCUCCACCUCCACCCUCCCCUCAGCAAUGACAUACUUGAGGAAAGGCCGUAUUUUCCUUAUUGUGUAAACAGCUUAUUUGUCCCAAGUAUCGUCUCUUCAACCUCUGCUCCGCCUCCUGGCUUUUCUGAAACCAAGAUGGCUCUUCCAAGGUGUUUUGUGAAUAAUAGACCAUCUGCUACUUUAGCCACAAGAAUAAGUGAUUUCCCAAGAUUGAAUUCUCAAGCAUGUUGCCUUUCCCACAAAUGUCUGUAAAUUGAGGGAAACAAAGA